rnacentral:rRNA from 1 species
UUCCGGUUGAUCCCGCCGGAGGCUACUGCUAUCGGGGUUCGAUUAAGCCAUGCGAGUUAAAUGUUCUUCGUGAACAUAGCGAACUGCUCAGUAACACGUGGAUAACCUACCCUUAGGACCGGAAUAACCCCGGGAAACUGGGGAUAAUACCGGAUAAGCCAUAGACGCUGGAAUGCCCUAUGGUUCAAAGCUCCGGCGCCUAAGGAUGGAUCUGCGGUCUAUCAGGUUGUAGUGGGUGUAACGUACCUACUAGCCGACGACGGAUACGGGUUGUGAGAGCAAGAGCCCGGAGAUGGAUUCUGAGACACGAUCCAGGCCUACCGGGAGGGCGCGAACACUUUACAAUGCGGGAAACGCGAUAAGGGAACCCCGAGUGCCAGCACCAAGUGUUGGCUGUCCGGAUGAUUAAAAAUCAUUUGUUAUCAAGGGCCGGGCAAAACGGUGCCAGCCGCCGCGGUAACACCGGCGGCCGAGUGGUAGCCGUUUUUAUUGGGUCUAAGGUCCGUACCCGGCUUGAUAAGUUCUUUGGGAAAUCUGGCAGCUUAAUUGUCAGGCUUCUAACGGAUACUGUCAGGCUUGGGACCGGAAUAAGUAAUGGGUACUCCAAGGGGUAUGAGUGAAAUCUUGUAUCCCUGGGGGAACAUCUGUGGCGAAGGCGCCUUAACAGAACGGUUCCGAGGUUAGGGGACGAAAGCUAGGGGAGCACAACCGGAUUUAGAUACCCGGGUAAUCCUAAGCUGUAAAACGAUGCUCGCUAGUGUCAUACACGGUGCGACCGUGUUUGGUGCCGCAUACAAACCGUUUAUCGAGUCAUCUGGGGAAGUACCGUACGCAAGGUGAAACUUAUAGGAAUUGGUGGUGAGCACU